AUUUUAUUAAUAAUAAAUCAAUC
rnacentral:snRNA from 1 species